GUGGGGAAUAUUGGGCAAUGGGGGAAACCCUGACCCAGCAACGCCGCGUGAAGGAAGAAGGUUUUCGGAUCGUAAACUUCUAUCCUUGGUGAAGAUAAUGACGGUAGCCAAGAAGGAAGCCCCGGCUAACUACGUGCCAGCAGCCGCGGUAAUACGUAGGGGGCAAGCGUUGUCCGGAAUGAUUGGGCGUAAAGGGCGCGUAGGCGGCCUGGUAAGUCUGGAGUGAAAGUCCUGCUUUUAAGGUGGGAAUUGCUUUGGAUACUGUCGGGCUUGAGUGCAGGAGAGGGAAGCGGAAGUCCCGGUGUAGCGGUGAAAUGCGUAGAGAUCGGGAGGAACACCAGUGGCGAAGGCGGCUUACUGGACUGUAACUGACGCUGAGGCGCGAAAGUGUGGGGAGCAAACAGGAUUAGAUACCCUAGUAGUCC
rnacentral:rRNA from 1 species